rnacentral:rRNA from 1 species
CAGCAGCCACGGUAAUACGAAGGGGGCUAGCGUUACUCGGAAUUACUGGGCGUAAAGGGCGCGUAGGCGGCACGAUUAGUCAGGCGUGAAAUUCCUGGGCUCAACCUGGGGACUGCGCUUGAUACGGUCGAGCUAGAGGAUGGAAGAGGGUCGUGGAAUUCCCAGUGUAGAGGUGAAAUUCGUAGAUAUUGGGAAGAACACCGGUGGCGAAGGCGGCGACCUGGUCCAUUACUGACGCUGAGGCGCGACAGCGUGGGGAGCAAACAGGAUUAGAUACCCGAGUAGUCCCUGUCUCUUAUAA